rnacentral:lncRNA from 1 species
CAGACUUCUGGUGCCUACUGUGCUUUAUAUUGUGUAAAAUGGAUUGUCUUGUAUAUAUUAGGGAUUGUUGCAUAUAUUAGAUAGAUGGGUGGGAGACUCUGUGUAGCUUAUCUCAGAGGGGUCAGUCAUAGUCAGAAUGAAAGUGAAAAAAGAUUUGAAACAGUUACGCUGUUGCAACACUGAUGUUGUGUGAUACAGUAAGAUAAUAUAUGUAUUUUAUUGUCUGUUACAUGACUAACACAUAUUUUUUUCUCUGUUCACUCCCCUAACAGAUCUCCAAUGGAAUGCAGAGGUAAUUAUUUUAAUAGGACACAUGUUUUAAAUAAUGUUUAAGUAAUGUUUAAGGUCAGAUCUUAGGUUAGGCUAAUAGCUGUCUGGGCCGUGAUCUAAACCAAAACAUUGCUACUUUUAGUUUUAGAGUCUAUACUUGACUUUUCUCUUUUUUAUCAAUUAUUAAACAGAGGUGCCAAGGUUGAUGAAGUACUACACCAUCACCACUGGCAAUACUAUGGAUUCUCAUAUCCAGUUUAUGAGACAACUUGGAGGAGGCUUCACUGAAGUGAUGUCACCAGAGCAGAGUGAUGUCAUCAUGGCUUUCUGACCCAUCGUCUCUCGUGCUGGUACUGAUAUUGAGGCAGCACUGCAGCAGAUUCCAGGUAGCCAACCCCCAAGCUGAUAAACCUGUCAUUCUGGUAGUACUGCAUCAGACCUUCAACCCAGACUACACUGUACCUGACAGCAGCAGACUAGUGACCAGAGGUGAUGUAAUACUCACAGUGGACUGUCUCUUCCAUGAGAGACAGGGACUAUUGGAGUGUCAUCACAAUGAAGCAACAGUCACAGAGAUUUUGAAGAAGCUCAGUAAACAUCCUAAGAUAUUAAUUCAUCACCAACAUUUUGAAUUUCACUCUGCUAAUUAUGUACUAUGAGAGCUAAAGAUAAUGUUUUAAUCUUUCUUUUACAGACUGAAUCUGGAUCUGUUUGUAUGGGUCUGCUCAGGGUAUGGAAAAACAUUGCAAAUGACUGUCACGCCCUGACCUUAGAGAUCCCUUUUAUUCUCUAUUUGGUUAGGUCAGAGUGUGACUAGGGUGGGAAAUCUAUGUUUUCUAUUUCUUUGUUGGCCGGGUAUGGUUCUCAAUCAGAGGCAGCUGUCCAUCGUUGUCUCUGAUUGGGGAUCAUACUUAGGCAGCCUUUUUUCCCACCUUAGUUUGUGGGAUCUUGUUUUUGGUACUGUGCUGUAUUGCCCUACUGAACGUUACAUUUUUGUUUGUAUUUGUUUUGUUUUCGG